AAUAAGUAGCCAGAUCAUUUUGUUAUUAAUCUUUAACUUUUACAUGCAGUGAGGUUGAGUCUGCCAAUAUCUGAGAGCAAAUUAACACAUCAAUCACAAUGUGGGGGAAAGGGAACUCUUUCUAACUCAAUUAUGGAAGGCUAACACGUGGUUAAUAUGUGGCUGCCAGCAAGGCAAUCAAAUAGCAAUGUAGUUCUUGAAAGGGAAGCCCUGAAGCUUGCAUAACUGAUUCAUAUUUAUAAUUCUAUAUUUAACACUGUUUAUGGAAGCAAUGAAUCAAAGGAAAAAUAAUGUUAUUUCAAUUUGAAACUGCGUAUCAGUGGCUUUUAGGCAUCAAGUUUGGAAAGUACCCCAACAAGGAAAUUUCAGAUUCCCAAUUCUAGUGAAAUCAACUUGGGAAUGAUUUUGUGAUGUGUUGUGGAAGGGUGCUCCAGGUUGAAAAUGCUCUUCUGUAGACGCAUUAGACUGCCUUUGAAUGCUCCACCAUGUAAUGGAUAAAGGGAUCGUGUGAUGAAUGUUGAAUAUUUGCUAAGUGUCAGAUAGUCACAGUCAGUAGAAUACCGAACCUGGUUACGCCACUUGGACUGGAAUUUAAGAAUAGUCACAGUUCUGUAGCAUACAAAAGUGAAUCAGAUCCCGACAUUGCCCUCAAGCAGCCUGAACUGUGGUAAGGUGGAUGACACACAUGCUCAUUAACACAACAAACAUGCAGCACUGGGUUUGUACAGAACUGAAAGAAGUGUGCACCCUUAUAAAACAUGGAGAAACAGUACUUUCUCAUGAAAAUUCAUUCCUACAACAUCCCUCUUUGCCUUACUUUUCAUUUACUUGCUGCCCUUGAUCACUUUGAGCACUUUCCUUGGGAAAAUUGUUUGAACAGAUCCAAAGUGAAUCGAUGCAAAACUGUAGCCCGUUGAGAGGUGGACACCAUAAAAGGUAAGGACCUGGUGGUAGCCACAUCUCCAAAUUUUGAAAUUAAUUCCUACUUCUCUGCCAGCAGGAUCUCUUAGGCCAAGUCAAUUAGCUUUGUAGCCCUUAAAAAAUCUGUAGAUGACUGAUAUCUUCAGAAUAUCUAUUCAAAUGACUUCUCAAUCACUUUAAAGAUAUGUUGGAAGAAGGCAAGUAGUAAUUAGAAAGGCCAGGAGUAGGAAAGGAGAGCAUUACUAGAACAUAAUUUUUACUAUUUUAUUUUAAGCUAAUAUGAUAGGUUUCAAGGUCAUCUUCCAAGAUUGCACAAAAUUUAUUCAUGU
rnacentral:lncRNA from 12 species